UCCAACCUGCCGAUAACUCCGGAAUAGCCUUUCGAAAGAAAGAUUAAUACCGGAUGGCAUACGAAUAUCGCAUGAUAUUUUUAUUAAAGAAUUUCGGUUAUCGAUGGGGAUGCGUUCCAUUAGUUUGUUGGCGGGGUAACGGCCCACCAAGACUACGAUGGAUAGGGGUUCUGAGAGGAAGGUCCCCCACAUUGGAACUGAGACACGGUCCAAACUCCUACGGGAGGCAGCAGUGAGGAAUAUUGGUCAAUGGGCGAGAGCCUGAACCAGCCAAGUAGCGUGAAGGAUGAAGGCUCUAUGGGUCGUAAACUUCUUUUAUAUGGGAAUAAAGUAUUCCACGUGUGGAAUUUUGUAUGUACCAUAUGAAUAAGGAUCGGCUAACUCCGUGCCAGCAGCCGCGGUAAUACGGAGGAUCCGAGCGUUAUCCGGAUUUAUUGGGUUUAAAGGGAGCGUAGGUGGAUUGUUAAGUCAGUUGUGAAAGUUUGCGGCUCAACCGUAAAAUUGCAGUUGAAACUGGCAGUCUUGAGUACAGUAGAGGUGGGCGGAAUUCGUGGUGUAGCGGUGAAAUGCUUAGAUAUCACGAAGAACUCCGAUUGCGAAGGCAGCUCACUAGACUGUUACUGACACUGAUGCUCGAAAGUGUGGGUAUCAAACAGGAUUAGAUACCCUGGUAGUCCACACAGUAAACGAUGAAUACUCGCUGUUUGCGAUAUACAGUAAGCGGCCAAGCGAAAGCAUUAAGUAUUCCACCUGGGGAGUAC
rnacentral:rRNA from 1 species